rnacentral:rRNA from 1 species
ACCGGCGGCUCGAGUGGUGGCCACUAUUACUGGGCUUAAAGCGUUCGUAGCUUGCUUGUUAAGUCUCUUGGGAAAUCCUCCGGCUCAACCGGUAGGCGUUCCGGGGAAACUGGCAGUCUAGGGACCGGGAGAGGUGAGAGGUACUCCAGGGGUAGGAGUGAAAUCCUGUAAUCCUUGGGGGACCACCUGUGGCGAAGGCGUCUCACCAGAACGGCUCCGACAGUGAGGGACGAAAGCUGGGGGAGCAAACCG